GCCCCGGUAAACGGCGGCCGUAACUAUAACGGUCCUAAGGUAGCGAAAUUCCUUGUCGGGUAAGUUCCGACCUGCACGAAUGGCGUAAUGAUGGCCAGGCUGUCUCCACCCGAGACUCAGUGAAAUUGAACUCGCUGUGAAGAUGCAGUGUACCCGCGGCAAGACGGAAAGACCCCGUGAACCUUUACUAUAGCUUGACACUGAACAUUGAGCCUUGAUGUGUAGGAUAGGUGGGAGGCUUUGAAGUGUGGACGCCAGUCUGCAUGGAGCCGACCUUGAAAUACCACCCUUUAAUGUUUGAUGUUCUAACGUUGGCCCGUAAUCCGGGUUGCGGACAGUGUCUGGUGGGUAGUUUGACUGGGGCGGUCUCCUCCUAAAGAGUAACGGAGGAGCACGAAGGUUGGCUAAUCCUGGUCGGACAUCAGGAGGUUAGUGCAAUGGCAUAAGCCAGCUUGACUGCGAGCGUGACGGCGCGAGCAGGUGCGAAAGCAGGUCAUAGUGAUCCGGUGGUUCUGAAUGGAAGGGCCAUCGCUCAACGGAUAAAAGGUACUCCGGGGAUAACAGGCUGAUACCGCCCAAGAGUUCAUAUCGACGGCGGUGUUUGGCACCUCGAUGUCGGCUCAUCACAUCCUGGGGCUGAAGUAGGUCCCAAGGGUAUGGCUGUUCGCCAUUUAAAGUGGUACGCGAGCUGGGUUUAGAACGUCGUGAGACAGUUCGGUCCCUAUCUGCCGUGGGCGCUGGAGAACUGAGGGGGGCUGCUCCUAGUACGAGAGGACCGGAGUGGACGCAUCACUGGUGUUCGGGUUGUCAUGCCAAUGGCACUGCCCGGUAGCUAAAUGCGGAAGAGAUAAGUGCUGAAAGCAUCUAAGCACGAAACUUGCCCCGAGAUGAGUUCUCCCUGACUCCUUGAGAGUCCUGAAGGAACGUUGAAGACGACGACGUUGAUAGGCCGGGUGUGUAAGCGCAGCGAUGCGUUGAGCUAACCGGUACUAAUGAACCGUGAGGCUUAACCUUACAACGCCGAAG
rnacentral:rRNA from 1 species